CAUUUUUGAUACUAUUAUGGAAAAAUUAUUUAAUAUCCUCAAUCUUAAGGAGAAUGGAGGUUACUGUUCUUACUAUUCAUCUCAAUUCAGAUGGUCAACGGAGACAGAAGCAAGCCCCAUACUUAACCCUGAAAAGUAGUGUUAAAAAUCUGUUUAAACUUUCCCGGCCCCUUAGCAUGUUUUUUUCCCCCUCAUUUAUCCAUGAUCCAGUUUCCUUGAUAUAUGUGAUUUGAUAUUGCCUAAUGUAACACAAGCCCCUGCACAAGGAUAGAUGUGAACAAGCGAGGGUUUUAUGUGCUGGAAACUUGGUCUCCAGUGCAGCAGUGUUAAAAGAUUGGACCUCUGGGAGGUACUUGGGCCAUGACAGCUCCGCCCUCAUAACUGGAUCAAUCCAUUUACAGAUUAAUGGUUUAUCACAGGAGUAGCUUUGUCAUAGAUGCAGCUCACUCUGGCAGGCUUGCUCCGUGACACCACGUGGUGCUCACUGCCAUGCUGUCAGAUAAGAAGGCCCUCAUCAGAAGCUGAGUGGAUGCAGGCACCAUGCUCUUCGACUUCCCAGCCACCAGAGCCAUGAGCGAAAUAAACUUCAAUUCUGUAU
rnacentral:lncRNA from 1 species